GGGUUCUUAGCUCAGUUUGGUUAGAGCGUCUGCUUGACGUGCAGAAGGUCAUAGGUUCGAAUCCUAUAGAACCCACAA
rnacentral:tRNA from 1 species